AUGAAUUCACAAAGUGAAAAAUAUUUACUCUACUCGUCUCUCAUUUUUUCCUAUUUAGGAACUGAUAAACUUUGCCCUGAUUCCCCACAGCUCUCAGGGGCAAACACAGUUCAGCUGAAAUUGCAAGCCAAGGAAGGUGCCUGUGACUAUGCUUGGAUCCAAGCCACAGUCACUCAUUUCCUUCUCGGGUGUUUUAGCUACAUCCUUCCUGCAGUCUGUCUGUGCCUGAGGUUCCCAGGCAUUUGCCAAAGCUUUAUUGAAGUUGAUUGUUGCAUAUGUAGACAAGAAAUGCAGGAUCAAAGUACAUUUUGA
rnacentral:lncRNA from 7 species